rnacentral:rRNA from 1 species
UACGUAGGGGGCAAGCGUUGUCCGGAUUUACUGGGCGUAAAGAGCGCGUAGGCGGAAGCUUAAGCGGUGCCUGAAAGCCCCCGGCUCAACCGGGGAGGGUGGUGCCGAACUGAGCUUCUUGAGGGCGAUAGAGGAGAGUGGAAUUCCGGGUGUAGCGGUGAAAUGCGUAGAGAUCCGGAGGAACACCAGUGGCGCAGGCGGCUCUCUGGGUCGGCCCUGACGCUGAGGCGCGAAACGCGUGGGGAGCGAACGGGAUUAGACUACCCGUCG